ACGGGUCACCAGACACUCAACAACUGUCCCAAAAGAGACUGAAAGACCAGCAACACCCCAACACAGUGACGAUGAAAAAGAACGAGAAAAAGACCAAGACGAUGAUCCUUCAUCAACAAGUGACAAGACAAGCGAAGCGAGCCAAAGUGAUGCAUCAGAAGAACACUCAUCGGAUGACAGUACAGGCAUCUCUGAUGAGGAUGACACCGACCACUCAUCAGUGCACGGUAGUCUCCCGCCACUCCUGUCUCGUCGUGAAGCAGAGUUCUUCGCAUUUGAUGAUGACGAAGACCGUGGUCAUGUUACCGAUGGCGACUAUGAAGUUUAAAGGCCUGGGUUUUCCAUCAAUUUAGUUUGUUGUGCCAAGGUUGACACAGAGUUUAUUGCAGUGUUUUCAAGAGUGAAAAACAAGAAGCCAUUAAGUUAACACAUAUGUAAAAACCGGUAGGGCUACCGCUAUUUUAUUGUCAGAGUCUUUUUCGGGUAAAGUUUGAGUUGUUACAGAGUCUGUUUUGGAUUUAUUGUAACAAUCUCUAAAGUGAAAUAAAGUUCCAUUAAUGUUUCAGCCAA